CGAAGAGCCUCACCAGGAUGCUGCCUGAAAUAGAGAGCAUGAACGAUAAGAACAGCUCAGGGGUUCCAAACCUUUUGAUGCCAUGGACCAGUACCAAGGGGUCUGUGGACCGCAGAAUGGGUGCCCUGUGUAGCCGGUACAGACGGUGGGCUUCAAUGGUGCUGUAUGAGGAGUUUUGGAAACACCAAUGCCCUUAAAUAGUUAA